rnacentral:tRNA from 4 species
GACUUAAAAUCCGUUGACUUUUUAAAUCGUGAGG